rnacentral:tRNA from 1 species
UCCUGGUGGCUCAGUGGUAAAGAAUCUGCCUGCAAUGCAGAAGAUCCAGAUUCAAUCCCUGGGUCAGGAA